rnacentral:tRNA from 1 species
ACUUGAAUAUCUUAAUAUAAAGUUUAACUCUGAAGAAGUUAAUAUAGGUAUAUCCUUUCAAGUA